rnacentral:rRNA from 1 species
CUGGAAGUUAAAAGUCGUAACAAGGUUUCCGUAGGUGAACCUGCGGAAGGAUCAUUACCGAGUGCGGGCCCCUCGGGGCCCAACCUCCCACCCGUGUUGCCCGAACCUAUGUUGCCUCGGCGGGCCCCGCGCCCGCCGACGGCCCCCCUGAACGCUGUCUGAAGUUGCAGUCUGAGACCUAUAACGAAAUUAGUUAAAACUUUCAACAACGGAUCUCUUGGUUCCGGCAUCGAUGAAGAACGCAGCGAAAUGCGAUAACUAAUGUGAAUUGCAGAAUUCAGUGAAUCAUCGAGUCUUUGAACGCACAUUGCGCCCUCUGGUAUUCCGGAGGGCAUGCCUGUCCGAGCGUCAUUGCUGCCCUCAAGCCCGGCUUGUGUGUUGGGCCCCGUCCCCCCCGCCGGGGGGACGGGCCCGAAAGGCAGCGGCGGCACCGCGUCCGGUCCUCGAGCGUAUGGGGCUUCGUCACCCGCUCUAGUAGGCCCGGCCGGCGCCAGCCGACCCCCAACCUUUAAUUAUCUCAGGUUGACCUCGGAUCA